rnacentral:rRNA from 1 species
UACGGAGGGAGCUAGCGUUAUUCGGAAUCACUGGGCGUAAAGCGCACGUAGGCGGAUUUUUAAGUCAGGGGUGAAAUCCCGAGGCUCAACCUCGGAACUGCCUUUGAUACUGGAGAUCUUGAGUCCGGAAGAGGUAAGUGGAACUGCGAGUGUAGAGGUGAAAUUCGUAGAUAUUCGCAAGAACACCAGUGGCGAAGGCGGCUUACUGGUCCGGAACUGACGCUGAGGUGCGAAAGCGUGGGGAGCAAACAGG